rnacentral:rRNA from 1 species
AUUGAGCGCUGGCGGCAUGCCUUACACAUGCAAGUCGAACGGCAGCACGGGAGCAAUCCUGGUGGCGAGUGGCGAACGGGUGAGUAAUAUAUCGGAACGUGCCCAGUCGUGGGGGAUAACGCAGCGAAAGCUGUGCUAAUACCGCAUACGAUCUACGGAUGAAAGCGGGGGAUCGCAAGACCUCGCGCGAUUGGAGCGGCCGAUAUCAGAUUAGCUAGUUGGUGGGGUAAAAGCCCACCAAGGCGACGAUCUGUAGCUGGUCUGAGAGGACGACCAGCCACACUGGAACUGAGACACGGUCCAGACUCCUACGGGAGGCAGCAGUGGGGAAUUUUGGACAAUGGGCGCAAGCCUGGUCCAGCAAUGCCGCGUGCAGGAUGAAGGCCUUCGGGUUGUAAACUGCUUUUGUACGGAACGAAACGGCGAGCUCUAAUACAGUUUGCUAAUGACGGUACCGUAAGAAUAAGCACCGGCUAACUACGUGCCAGCCGCCGCAGUAA